ACUAGGAUUCUGUUUGCUUGUUCUUAGUCAGUGAAGCGUCUGAAGGCAGUUCAGUUUGGUCGGUCCUUCCUUUUCGUAACACCCUGAACAUGUUUUUUUUUUUUUUCAUUAGCACCGUGAACCAACUGUGCCUAUCAGUGCCAUGGACAGCAGGAAGGAGGCUGACUUCAGGCGGCGGCACCGAACCUGUUCAUUUGCAGUCUGCCAGCCUGUGAGGGAGCUCUUGGGAUGUGUGCAACUGACCAGCUAGAAGUAUGAACCAAUAAACAGUUUGGUAGACAUAGAUGAAGCAAUAGCAGCUGGAGUCUACCAGCCUAUGAGGUGGCUGAGUGACCAGAUAGAAUAAUCGAUGAGCAGUUGGUCAAGAGAUGAGUGGAGGAGACCGAGUAGAAUUAUGGACCAAUGAGUGAAUCGAUACAUGAGUGGCCAAUUAUCUCUCUGAUGCAGAUGAACCAGUGACCAACCCAUGCUCUAUGACGUACUUAGACCAAUAGCAGGCGGCUGAACCUGUUGUACCAAAUAAAGUUUGA